GUCUGCGGCCACACCACCCUGAACACACCUGAUCUCAUCUGAUCUCGGAAGCUAAGCAGGGUCGGGCCUGGUUAGUACUUGGGUGGGAGAAAAGUUAGUUUCUCUAUCCC
rnacentral:rRNA from 1 species